rnacentral:tRNA from 1 species
UUCUCAUAGUUGAAGUACAACGAUGAUUUUUCAUGUCAUUGGUCGUGGGUAUAGUCCAUGUGAGAAUA